GGAGUGUGUCUAACAGCAGUAUAAUUUUGA
rnacentral:piRNA from 1 species